rnacentral:rRNA from 1 species
GGCUCAGGACGAACGCUGGCGGCGUGCUUAACACAUGCAAGUCGAGCGAUGAAGCUCUUCGGAAGUGGAUUAGCGGCGGACGGGUGAGUAACACGUGGGUAACCUGCCUCAUAGAGGGGGAAUAGCCUUCCGAAAGGAAGAUUAAUACCGCAUAAGAUUGUAAUAUCGCAUGAUAUAGCAAUUAAAGGAGCAAUCCACUAUGAGAUGGACCCGCGUCGCAUUAGCUAGUUGGUGAGGUAACGGCUCACCAAGGCGACGAUGCGUAGCCGACCUGAGAGGGUGAUCGGCCACAUUGGGACUGAGACACGGCCCAGACUCCUACGGGAGGCAGCAGUGGGGAAUAUUGCACAAUGGGGGAAACCCUGAUGCAGCAAACCGCCGCGUGAGUGAUGACGGUCUUCGGAUUGUAAAGCUCUGUCUUCAGGGACGAUAAUGACGGUACCUGAGGAGGAAGCCACGGCUAACUACGUGCCAGCAGCAGC